AGCAGCCGCGGUAAUUCCAGCUCCAAUAGCGUAUAUUAAAGUUGUUGCAGUUAAAAAGCUCGUAGUUGAAUUUCGGGGUUAGCAGGUCGGUCGUGCCAUCGGUAUGCACUGGUCUCGCUGAUCCCUCCCUCUUGUAGAACCGUGAUGCCAUUCACUUGGUGUUGCGGGGAAACAGGACUGUUACUUUGAAAAAAUUAGAGUGCUUAAAGCGGGCUAACGCUUGAAUACAUUAGCAUGGAAUAAUGAAAUAGGACGCUGAUCCUAUUUUGUUGGUUUCUAGGGUUGACGUAAUGAUUAAUAGGGAUAGUUGGGGGCAUUAGUAUUCAAUUGUCAGAGGUGAAAUUCUUGGAUUUAUUGAAGACUAACUACUGCGAAAGCAUUUGCCAAGGAUGUUUUCAUUAAUCAAGAACGAAAGUUAGGGGGAUCGAAGACGAUCAGAUACCGUCGUAGUCUUAACCAUAAACUAUGCCGACUAGGGAUCGGAUGAUGU
rnacentral:rRNA from 1 species